rnacentral:pre_miRNA from 1 species
GUACUACUCCCUCCGUUCGGAAUUAUUUAUCGCAAAAAUAGAUGUAUUAAGAUAUAUUUUAGUUCUAGAUAUAUCCAUUUUCGAGACAAGUAAUUCCUAACGGAAGGAGUACUAU